UUAGUGCUCAGUUUGACAAACUUCAUUAGCACAUGUGCAGGUAACUCAUUGACAGGCGCAAUGUUUUGAGCAAACAAGCCAAGACAGAAGACUAGACCAUACUUUCUUUAAACUACACAUUUUUGGCUGGCUAAUACAAAUCACCUAAUUUUUCACAAUAGUUCGUAGUCUUGUAGGCUAGGCCAAAAGUGGAAUAAAUGCGUUAUUUCAAGCCAACUAAAUUUAAUUCAGCACUCAAAAUAACACUACCGAGGUCUGAUAAAUAAAUGUGUAAGGAACCGCUGGAGAUCUAUCAGCUUGCGCGUAUUAUGGGCUACUGCUGAUUUCCAUACGGUUGCCUUGGAUACCUGUCUCUAAAAAAUCCUGCCUGAGCCUGACAACUAGCCUUCUUGAAAGCAGCUGGUCGACACCACCAAGAGAAGAGAUGCUGAGAUAGGCUGCGCUGGGAGGAGUUUUCCCAGCGGACGGUGAUCUGAAUCAUUUUCAACAGCAGUCCACUCAAUCUCUGACCACAUUUCGUAUUCUGUUCUUCGCGAAUACGCCCAUGCGAUGGAAGAAACCUUCGAAUUUUGGCAAAUGCAGAUAUUACACCUCAACGCAGGAAAAGAGAGUCCAGCCCCUGACCCCACAGAAAUGGAGAAUGGAUGAAGAUCAGCUACCAGAAUCCCCCUGACUGUGAACUCUAUUACCCAGGUACAAGUACUGUAUAUUAAAUAUCUUUUACACACACUUGUUUGUGUUGUGUGUGUUUUAUACACAACACUGUCUUUCCGUCUUUCAGUUUUAGUAUUCGGAGCACUGCAUACACUCGACUAGGCAUGUUUACUAUGUGUGCGUGCGUGUGUGCUCUAUCCAUUCAGUCUCAAUUUUGCCUUCUAGAUGGGCUAUGGCUUAAGGCCAAAUCAGCCGUGGCCGACACGUAGUGUCACACUUAGCUGUGACGCACACGGUUGCCUUCCACUCUCUGCUGCUUUCCACCUCUCUGCUCCCCUACAGGGCUCCGAAGGAUGUCCACACCGGGAGGAGAUCAGCGUCCUUACCUGGCCCCCCCUGCGUGCUUCUGUCCACUCGGAGGAGUUACCAGGGCGCCCCGUCAUUUCGAAAAUGGAGGUGUUGUUCCCAUUCCUGAGCACUCUGGAGGAAUUCAGCAAGGGGAGAAAGCACAUGGUGCUUUCAGGAAGACGGUCAACCAGUUACUGAUGUCAAAUAGCCGCACUGAACUAACACUGAGACAAGCGCAAAACGUUUGAAAAGAUCUUACCUUAAUGUCCACACUUUUAAGACUGUUCCUUUAUGCUGUGCAUCAAGAAACACAGACAAUGUGUUAUACACAUGUGUUAGGGCAGCAACUAACGAUUAUGUUCAUAGUCGAUUAAUCUGUCGAUUAUUUUCCCGACUAAUGACUUAACGAUUUUAUGUUCUCAAAUGCCUUGUUUAGUCAACAUGCCAAAGACAUGCAGUUAACUGUAAAAUGAGUAAGCAAAGAUGGACAUUAUUCAAGUUUAAGAAGCUGCAAUCAGAGAAUUGAGAGAUAUUUUCCUUUAAAAAGUGACACUAACUGAUUAACUGCCUACCAAAUUGGUUGGCAAUUAACUUAACAGUUGACAACUAAUCUGAUAAUCGAUUCAUUGUUGCGACCCUACUACAUAUUCAACGGUAUGCAAUAUGUGACCUUUAAGGUUGAACUCCUUCUAUGGCAUAUAGUGAAAUCAUUUGUAUUUGUGAGAGUGAGACCUACCGCUGACAGGUAGAGCAUUACACAGAAAGCUGCACCAACUGAACUAUACCUUUCAAACACUUCCUCUAAUCUCCUAUCUCACUUGCUGUCCCGCAUUUGAGGAAGCCAAAGUGUGUCACACAGACUGGCAAGAGAGAAGUACACGUGAGAGAAGUGGAAGUGUGUGUUUUUGGAGCUGCGUGGUGGUUCUCUUUUUCUCUUUUUUUCCCCUACAUGCCUUUCGCAUCUCUCUUUGUCCUCUCUCUCAUCACCCCCUCUGUGGCCUUGGUUGUCUGCAGUGUAUUUGCAUACCUGUUUGUCUACUACACCCUGCGUGACUGCUUUGUACGCUCGCCAUUUGCAUAACCGUAGAAAAGAAGAACCAGGUGAUGGAGGGUUGCAAGCUCUUGUUGUGUAUCACUGGAUUCGUACAGUGUUUUUCCAUGCGUUUACUGAUGUGGUUUGUUUGAGCGAAAUAAGUUUCUGCCGAAUUGUGUCGAGAUAACCCUCAAUGACCUGGAAUCUUCGCACACUUUUCUGUGCUCAUGUCUUGUGUUCUUUGAGGACAGGCACCCUAUCCCCACCUUUUAAACAGAAAUGUUGAUGGCUUUUCUCUUUCGUUUGCAGUGCACUGAAUAGGUGACAGGUAACAUUUUACUUGCAUGCAAAAGUGUUUCCUUCUAAAGCUCCCCCCAUAGAUGGUGGUAGGUUAGAUUUAAUAGAUUUCUGACUAAAUAUAUUCCUGGCUUAAUCCUUUUGGAUUUGGAUUAAUGCUGCGGUCAGUAAUUUAAUGCGUUAGGGUAAUGGAUUAAUGGAUUGCUUCGCUGAUGUAAGAGCUUGAGGUUAAUUUUAAGUCGUGAUUUUCAUGUUGUGAGGUCAAUUUAUGGUUUUGAUCAGCAGUACAUCUUCAUUUGUCCAAGAUGUCUAUGAAAUGAGAACCUAAAUUACAUGUUUUAACGUAGGGAGUACAUGACCCAACAUACAGUCUAAGAUCUUUGAUUCAGUACGCUUAAUUAGCAUUCUUUGCAGAAAAGCACAAUACAUUUUUGACCACAUAUGGCAAGCUGCUAUCUAAUCAGUGCACUGCAACUGAAAUGAUGAAAAUAGCGACAAAACAACUAACAUGGAUAUGCUCACAGUUCCCUUGUUGCAAUGGCUGAUGACAACACUAACAUCUUAAAAGACUAAUCGCACAUCUUAGAGACUAACACCUCUCUCUUUCUCUCUGUGAUGUCCCUGCGUAGCGGGCUGCAACACAUUUCCUCCCCUUUUGCUGUUUCCCUGCUAACACUGAUUUUAACAACUGUUUUUCCCUUUCCCUCUUCAAAUACUAAUGAUGCCUAACACCACUAACAAGGUUGCUUAUGAGCUUACUGUAGAUUGCCUAUCGCGUCUUACUUCUUGCUUGCUGUCUUAGCUGGAGGUGAACAUUCUCAGAACAAGAGUGGCCCUCUGAGAUGCAAACAUUCCUUUGGUGUUCCAGAAUGUUUUGAGAAUGUUUUCUGCUCAGCUUGUUCUUUCCAAGACUGUGGCUAUGCAACUUAGAGUACCCUGCAUCAUAUUCUCUCCCCGUGGUGCAUAUUCUCCUUCUUUACACGCGUGUACUCUGUGUGUGUAUGUGUGUGUGAGUGUGUGUGUGUGCGCGUGUGAGUGUUUGUGCAAACUGUGAAUGGAAUGCUGCAUGAGACAACAGGCUUUGCCAUAAGCUCUUGGAACACUGUAUGUAAAACUAACCCACACCAGGACAAUCCUGGUCUGCUAACCAGAACUAACAGCGAUUAACCAACAAACUAACUUUGGUGCACCACAGUCUUGCUGUGUCUAUUUAACAUCUUCUGCCUCCAGUCACACCUCCUUAAUUGCAUCCACCUUGCCUAUUUCCUCUGGUAAACUGACAUGCCAUGCGUUGGGUAUAUUGGGUAUUUGUGUGUGUACGUGCAUGGAUGUUAACGUGUCUUCAGAGUGGGUAUCAUUUGUAUGUUGUGUAGGUGAAUGCUAUGGGUGUGUGAGGUACUAAAUGAUGAUUGCCAAGGCAUUUCUACCUUAUUCUUGUGCCUUGUAAAAGGUUCUUCUUUGUCACUUUCUGGUGGACUGAUGUCUGCGUAACACUUUACUCUUACUAACGAUCUCAGUGCGCUACUUGCGCUCUUACUAACGAUCUCAGUGCGCUAUAUUUGCGCUCUUACUAACUAAUGAUCUCAGUGCGCUACUUGCGCUCUUACUAACGAUCUCAGUGCGCUAUACUUGCGCUCUUACUAACGAUCCCAAUGCGCUAUACUUGCGCUCUUACUAACGAUCCCAAUGCGCUAUACUUGCGCUUUUACUAACGAUCCCAGUGCGCUAUACUUGCGCUCUUACUAACGAUCCCAGUGCGCUAUACUUGCGCCUUUACUAACGAUCCCAGUGCGCUAUACUUGCGCUCUUACUAACGAUCUCAGUGCGCUAUACUUGCGCUCUUACUAACGAUCUCAGUGCGCUAUACUUGCGCUCUUACUAACGAUUUCAGUGCGCUAUACUUGAGCUCUUACUAACGAUCUCAGUGCGCUAUACUUGCGCUUUUACUAACGAUCUCAGUGCGCUAUACUUGCGCUUUUACUAACGAUUCCAGUGCGCUAUACAUGCGCUCUUACUAACUAACGAUCUCAGUGCGCUAUACUUGCACUUUUACUAACUAACGAUCUCAGUGUGCUAUACUUGCACUUGUACUAACUAACUAUCCCUGUGCACUAUACUUGCACUCUUACUAACUAACGAUCAGUGCACUAUACUUGCACUUGUACUAAUGAUCCCUGUGUGCUAUACUUGCACUUUUACUAACGAUCUCAGUGCGCUAUACUUGCACUUUUACUAACUAACGAUCUCAGUGCGCUCUAGUUGCGCUCUUACUAACCCACAAUCUCACUGCGCUAUAGUUGCGCUCUUACUAACCCACAAUUUCACUGUAGUUUGUGCUCUUGCUUCAAGUUGCUUAUGACCCGGAAAAUGCUGACUAACCACUAACAGAAUGAUCUGUAUCGGAGGUGUCUUGCUGAGGAUCAUAUAAUUUGCCUUUCAUUGUGACAAUAGCCAGCUAUAUAGAAAUCACAUGUAGUUGCAUUUCUAAAGCUGCUGCUAUCCAAUAUAGCUCUGUUUUGGUUGUGCUCGGAUUUGGCUGACAGAUCUUCAAGUACAUCUAUUAAAUCAUUAAUUUAAAGGCCAGUCUUGAGUAGAUGAAAGAAAACCUCAGCAGGAUAUAUCUGUGGCAGACAAAUUGUGAUUUUAUUAACAACAUCCAUAUCAGUAGUCUCACACACUAAACACAGGGUCACAGUUAGAUUCCCAGUGAGAUCUUCAUUAAGCUAUGAUCAUUUGUAACCACGCUCAAUCAUGCUGGCCUUUGAAGGCCCCAUAUUCUACAGACACCAAAGUAAUGUGAACAUUCCCUUAGCCCGAGGUGGUAGAGCAGUCUAAUCAGUAAUCAGUAGAUGCUGCAUGGCGCUCAAGCAAAUCAGAUAUCUGCAGGGCACAGAGUCUCCCAGGAAUAUAUUGUGAGGGUCUGUCCAAGGGUACAUCCCAGCAGAUGCUCCCCGGAGCUCUGGACUGGCCUUCUCUGGGCCUUGCUGUAGACCAGGGUGCGAGUUAGGGGGGAGCAGGGGGAGCCAUGGCUCCCCUAGUGGCCACCUGAGCUCCCCUGGAAACAUGGUUUGUGAAAUUUUGGGGGAGCUCUAAAAUAUUAAUGAUUGCCAAAUAAAUUAUAUUUUGACCAUGGUUUUCCCUCAAAGGUGUAAAAUCAGAUAAAUAAAAUUGUAUUUUGAGUUCAUGAUUCAUGAAAAAAGUGCCUGCUUUCGCGCUUGAAACGUGGGGACGCUGCCCGCAGCUCCACCCACUACCCACUCACACAAGCUCGUUCACAGUCGAAUGUCUAAAAGAAAAGAAUGUCUAAAAGAAAAAAGCAGUGUUUGGCUCUGUGUACAGGAUAUCCCAUGUGGUUGUGAAACAAUGUAAGUUGUUGAGUAGCCUAAUUCUAAGUUGAUUCAAUUAAACAGUCAGAGGACACAUUAUUGGUGGUCCGUGGAUUAUUUACUAUCAAGUUCACUGAAGUUUGCGUAGCCCAUUCGGGAAAUCUGUUGACGUGAUCCAUCAGGGUGUUUCGUCUAAGUAUGGCUAUAUACUGUAGCUGUUAGACCUAUCGCACCCGUGUGCAACGAAUUUUCUCUUUAUAAUAGGCCUAUGCCUAUGCUGUUGCAGGAUCGGCAUUUAAACUUAGCCCCCCCCCCCCCCCCCAAAAAAAAAGACCCCGCCCCGCCCCCCGGCUCCCCC